UGCUUUGAACAAAACACCCUCAUUGAACCUGAACUCCUCAGAUCUCGGAAGCUAAGCCGGAUUUUAAGCCUGCUUAAUACUUGUGUGGGAGACAACCUGGGAAUGCCAGGUUUUAUAGACG
rnacentral:rRNA from 1 species